ensembl:lncRNA
CAAACUUUGCCACUCUUUCCUAAUUAGCAUCCGUGUUGAUGGGCAGGUUACCUGGCAGUCUGUAGUGUUUCUAAUGAAUUGAUUUAUGAAGUCCAGUGUCUGUUUCCCCCUUCCCAAUCUUUGAUUUCUUUUUGUUCAUUUAUUACCUUAUUCAUUUAUUUAUCUUCAAUGCAGGGGUGGUUCUUGAAUGAUUUUCAUGAGACCUGGCCUCAGUCAAACAGGCUUUGCUCCAUCCUUGCUCCAUCAGACCAUCCUUGCUCCAAGACAGAGCUGCACUUAGGCUGUGCCGGUAGCCCACAUCAGAUAGCGCCUGGUGCCGAGCGCUUCCCUCCUUCCCCCAAGUCUUCGCGCUCUCGAACAUCUCCGUUUGGCCUCAUUUUUGUGCUUCGGUGGUAUCUGCACAGCCCAAAUUAACAGCGAGGAUUCCACGGACGGGGGCCGCCGCCUCCCUCGGCUCCCAGCUAUCUGUGCCAAAUCCUCAUUCUGCUGAAGUCAGUAACAAAACACCCAUUGACUACCAUUGGGCCAGGAUACAACCAAUGGACCCCUCAAGGAUGAGGAGUGAAGGAUGGAGGAGAGGAAAAUUGUAUUUCAUGUGCCAGAAGUGACACAGAAAGUACUUCCAUAACUCGCUGGAUAGGUUCUUUGAGAAAACCUGGUGAGGAUCGCUUACAUCUGAGGUUUGUGAACUUAGGGGAAUGAAGUGUACAAAUUCAGUGCUCUCAUUGCACCUUGGGAGCUCUUAUGGGGAGCUUUUGUGUUGUGGGGUUUUGUUGGGUUUUUCCAUGCAUACAUGUGAAGUAGCAUAUUAUUUUAAUUCCCUCAAGUUGCCAUUUUCUUUCUCUCUCCUUUUUUACCCCCCUGUGGUUUUAAUUGCCUAAAACUUCAGAGAGUAACUGGUCCUGCUUUAAACUCCUCUUCUCGCACAAGCCCCUGUGGUUCACACCUGUGUUUCAGUGUUCGGCUGCCUGGAGGGGAAUGGUUACCUGUGGACUUGGGGAUUUUGAUGCUUUUACCUUUUUGAGCAACAUGGUGUUUGUUCUAAAAGUAACCUCAACUCUAAUAAGCUAAUUAUUUCUAAUUUAUAGUAAGCUGUUCAUCCUCUAGACUGACUGAGGGGGUGGCGUAAAUCUGUGAGUGGAAAUGUGACUUCUUAAAAACCCUUUUCCACUGUUCCUCUUGAUGUUCAGUACCUCCUUUUUUUUCUUUUUUCUCCUUCCUGUCUGUCUCUAUGAGCAGGGAGGGCGUAGUGGAUUGUAGAAUUGAUUUCCAAGAUGAGCUUUCAGUCUUGAGAGGUAUUUUAAGCUUAAUUGUUAAAAGUCUUUGGGAAUUAAUUAUUUUUUGUUAUCAGGUGAGCAAAAUAACUUUUCCUCUCAGUUUUUACGUAUCUGGUGCUUUUCUGUGCCAAAGUGCCAAUUAUUAAAGACUUCAGAAAUAGUCUGGCAGUGUCGAAGUGUCCGAAGCACACUCAGUAAACUCCAUGCUCCUCUCCCAAUCUACACAUACCUCUGUCCUCUGGAGAGCGAAGGAUUCAUCACUGAGUGGGCUCAGAGACACGGGCAUUGCACAAGCUCUUCUGUCUUUCAUCGAUGAGGGCUGACUCCGGAGAACCAUCCGCUCCAGGCCGAUUAUCUCUUCUACUGAGCCCCAACUGCUAUUUUUUUCCAGCUCUGUUUGAAGAGCAUGCAGAGCCAAUAAAAGGAAGCUAAAUGACA